rnacentral:rRNA from 1 species
CCUACGGGCGGCAGCAGUGGGGAAUAUUGCACAAUGGGCGCAAGCCUGAUGCAGCCAUGCCGCGUGUGUGAAGAAGGCCUUCGGGUUGUAAAGCACUUUCAGCGGGGAGGAAGGCGGUGGGGUUAAUAACCUCAUCGAUUGACGUUACCCGCAGAAGAAGCACCGGCUAACUCCGUGCCAGCAGCCGCGGUAAUACGGAGGGUGCAAGCGUUAAUCGGAAUUACUGGGCGUAAAGCGCACGCAGGCGGUCUGUCAAGUCGGAUGUGAAAUCCCCGGGCUCAACCUGGGAACUGCAUUCGAAACUGGCAGGCUAGAGUCUUGUAGAGGGGGGUAGAAUUCCAGGUGUAGCGGUGAAAUGCGUAGAGAUCUGGAGGAAUACCGGUGGCGAAGGCGGCCCCCUGGACAAAGACUGACGCUCAGGUGCGAAAGCGUGGGGAGCAAACAGGAUUAGAUACCCUUGUAGUC